CGCGCCGGCGGGGCAGAGCCGGGACUGCCGGGCCGCGACGGGUGGCAUUUGUACAUGAGUGGAACUCAGUGGCACAGCCUGCCCGUGAUCUUCGGCGAAGUUUGUAGCAGACGUUGACCAGAGGCAGAGGUUCACCAGAGCAUUGGACCGAGCCUCCGUGCGCUCAGCUCUCCGUGCGCUGGUCCGCCUCCCCGCCCGCCGAUCAUUUGGCUGGGUCCUGGACGUGGUGGUGACGAUACUCGAGAGUGUGAGGACUGGAACAUCACUUUUCCUCCCAUCUUCUAAGUUCUUCUAGCUGGGUGAACAAUAGCAUUACAGAGGCAGAUUAACAGGAGCGAACGCCCAAAGUUCACUUUAGGAACUCGAGGUCGGAGGCACAUUUGGGGGUAGCAACUGCUUCCCUUCAAGAGCUCUGCUCCUACCCGUUGUGCAAACCGCAACCAUGGUCUACGGCGUGGACUUGGCGCGCCCUCUGCUGGUGGGGACUGAUCACGCCCAUCUGCGCGUUCAAGUUCAAGGUGUGGAGCCUUUGGGUGUGACGUCAGCCUGAGAAGUCAGCUCACUUCGUUAAAGGGCACGUUUUUUUUUCCUGCCAAAUACAAUUUAUUUAAAGGUUUAUAAGAAAAAAAUUAUUAAGAUAUUCUAACACAAAUAAAA